rnacentral:rRNA from 1 species
GUGGGGAAUAUUGGACAAUGGGCGCAAGCCUGAUCCAGCCAUGCCGCGUGAGUGAUGAAGGCCUUAGGGUUGUAAAGCUCUUUCGUGGGGGAAGAUAAUGACUGUACCCCAAGAAGAAGCCCCGGCUAACUCCGUGCCAGCAGCCGCGGUAAUACGGAGGGGGCUAGCGUUGUUCGGAAUUACUGGGCGUAAAGCGCACGUAGGCGGACUGGAAAGUCAGGGGUGAAAUCCCGGGGCUCAACCCCGGAACUGCCUUUGAAACUCCCAGUCUUGAGUUCGAGAGAGGUGAGUGGAAUUCCGAGUGUAGAGGUGAAAUUCGUAGAUAUUCGGAGGAACACCAGUGGCGAAGGCGGCUCACUGGCUCGAUACUGACGCUGAGGUGCGAAAGCGUGGGGAGCAAACAGGAUUAGAAACCCUUGUAGUCC